ensembl:snRNA U6 U6 spliceosomal RNA
AUUAAAAAUAAUCAAACAGUGCUCGCUUCGGAACGAUACAGAGAAGAUUAGGAUGGCCCUUGUGCAAGGAUGACAUGCAAAUUCGUGAAGCGUUCCAUAUUUUU